UGGGAUGACAACUAACAUUUGAAGAGAUGAAGGGGAGACACAAGUUUUCUUAAACCCCUAUUACUUUUACCUGGAUGUCCUGUGGUACACAUUUAGUUCUGAGCUGUGCUUAGGGCUACACACAUGGUGAGCCUACACCAAGGACUGCAUAAACAGAGUUGUCAAGGGAUGAAUCAUGAGGGGAAAGAGGUGUAAGAUAAAGGUUUUAAAGGAGCUGACACCAGCAGAAAAAAUAUUGGGAGUUUUUCUGCAGAGAGGUUGCACUCCUGCUGCCAUCCCAGCAUAGAAAAAGUUCUUAUUUACGUAGUACAUUAGAACAGAAGAUCCUCUGCAACAUUAUCUAUAUUCAGGAUGAGCAAUCAGAUGAGCCAAAUAUGUGGUCUUUUUCAAGCUAACACAGAUACAACAAAAGAAGAAGUUAUUGAUGGCUUUAGCAUCCCAGAGACUCAGCAAGCUGCCUUCUUUGCCUCUUUUACCAACCCUAUCCUCACAUUUCUUCUAUAAAAAACAUAUAUAUUUCACUGGCUACAUUUUAAAGUAGCAGAUACUAUUAAAAGUACAUAAAGAAUGCUGCAAAUGUACAGAGACCUAUCCAUCUCUCAGAGAUAGUAUUAUGUCUAUCACUGACCACAGCUGAAUUUUGAGCUACAAACUAAGUGUCUACAAUGGGGGAAAAAGUGAAAUCUGAACCGUUUUCCUCACUGGAAUUUCACAGAGUGUUUUUAAAUAAUUUUUCUCACUUUCAAAAUGAUUUUCAGUUAUCAAAAUGAAUGCAUUUUCUCUUUCCAAUUAUAUUAACUCAUUUUUAUCAUUCCUUGUCUUAGAUCAAUCCUAUCUUGCAAGAAAAUAAAAGGGUUUUCUUCGCAGUUAUCCAUAUCCUCUCACUUUUCACUAGAAAGAACAUUAUUGCUUUCUGUGGGCUACCUGAACUAAAACCUCUCCACAUUCAUCUGUAGCUGGGUUCUUCACAGCAUGCCUGCCUAUCCUGUCAUAAACAGAUUUUACUUUUGCACUGUGUUUCCACAGAAGUAUCUUUCUUUAACUGUGACUAUUUGAAUCCCAUGAUGGUUAAUAUUGGAAGAGACCACUGGAAAUCUUCUAGCCCAACCUCUUUGAUUAAGCAGGGUUCCUUGGAGCAUGUUACUCAGUGUGUCCAGAUGGCUUUUGAAUAUCUCCACUGAGAGAGACUGUUGCAUUAAGUUUACAGGAAUUUAGCAGAAAAUAUCUUCUGCUCCAUGUAUUACAGCUGGUCCUGAGAGAUCAGAAGGGCUGAGUGUGGCCUGGUUUAAGUUCUGAUUAUAGCCAAUUCAGCACUAUAAGUCUGGUCAUGUUCAAAGGACCUGGCAUGAGCACAGAUGCACAAAUAAUGAAAUUUAUUGAUCAGGUCUGAUUACAUUCAGUAAGGACUAGCAUGGUCCAGAUUCAUGAUUAAUAUGGCUUUUUGAAAAAAUAGGAAAGCAGGUUCAGGAUUGCCCAUGAUAAAUGCACUAACUACAGUGUUACACGUGUUGUGACAGAAAGUAUAGUAACACAUAUCUAAUAGCGAGAUAUUUAUACAUAUAUAUAUAUAUAUAUAAAUAAAUAUUCCCAGGUGUUCUCCAACACAGUUGGAGGUGUGAAGUUCAUCUAAAGGCUUCAGGAGAAGUCACUGGGAGAGAAGCGGAGACACAGUCCAUCUACCAAUUCCAAGCAGACAGAAGUGGUUUUCCUCUCCAGCCGUUUCUGACCCAAAGUUCCACUUUUAUGUAUUAAUUUGGGUCUGUCCCAGUGGGAUGCAACAACUGAAUAUUCUAGAUGAGGUUUGGUGAUUUUGGUCAUACACGUAUUACAUGUCCCACAUUCUCCUUUAUUCACAUCUUGAAGAGUGAAUAAGGUGAAUAAUGUUAAUGGGGCUUAAUGAGGGUCUUGGUUACAUUUGGUGAGAAUUUAUAGUUGACAAAAAAGGUACAAUAAACACUUUGGUCUUUCCUCAUGCACGGAAGCAGCACUAAAGGCUGUCUGACCUUCACUGGAGAGUCUUUGUGUGCUCCCUUUUUUCCUUAAUGAACCAGAUUUUUAGCAAUGCUUUUUUUGCACAGCGAAGGGAGUGAGUCUAAUGGCUGGUACAGGUAUGUGGGUGCUCUUCUGUGCCUCACUGAAAUAACAUUGGGCGUCUGCUUCACCCCAGACACCAUUCAUUUGUCAGCCCUUGCUCGAGCAGGUACAAGAUCAGCAAGGGGCUCACUUCAGGUUUUUCUCAACCUGCCUCAAUAAUUCUUCACUGUCUUAAAACAACACUGUACAAUUCUGAUCAUUCAUGACAGAGAGCCCACAAUCUCUCUGGGCAAUCUGUUUCAGUGCUCUGUCACACACACAGGAAAGUUCUUCAUAUUCAGGUGGGACUUCCUGUGCAUCAGUUUCUGCCUGCCUGUCACCUUUUGUUCUACUGAUUGGCACCACCUAGAAGUGCCUGGCUUCAUCCUCUUCACAGAGCGACAGAAUCACAGAGUAGUUUGGGUUGGAAGGGACCUCUGGAGAUCAUCUAGUCCAACCCCUCUGCCAAGUCCGGGUCACCUUCAGCAGAUUACAUAGGAACAUGUCCAAGUGAGGUUUGAAUGUCUCCAGAGGAGGAGAUUCCACAACCUGCCUAGGCAGCCUGUUCCACUGUUCUGCCACCCUCAAGGUAAAGAAGUACUUCCUGAUGUUGGAGUGGAACUUCUUGUGUUUUAGUUUAUAGCCGUCGUUCCUUGUCAUGUCACUGUGCACCACUGAAAAGAGUCUGGCACCUUCCUCUUGACAAAUGUAUUUGAGAUAUUUAUAUGUAUUAAUGAGGUCCCCUCUCAGUCUGCUCUUCUCUAGACUAAACAGACCCAGCUCCCUUAGUCUGGCAUGACACCCUUCCUUCAGAUAUUUAUAUACAUUGAUGAGGUACCUUCCCAGUCAUCUCUUCUCAAGGCUGAACAGGCACAAUUCCCUCAGCCUUUCCUCAUGAAACCAUUGUUCCAGUC